ensembl:lncRNA
CCACUACAGGGAUGCUGUGACAGCAGUGGUUAUUUGUAUGUGAACACAGUGGGAAGAAGAGUACCAAUAGGCUAAUUUGCAUUAUGCCGUUGCUUAAAAGCAAAUCCUAUUAUCACUUAUCACAAUUGCAGAAUGAAGCAUCUUUUUGAAGGAUGGAAUUCAAAACAGAGCUGAAGAGCUACAGUGAUGGUGAUGCUGGUGGUGGUGGAGAGUACUGACAGCUUUAAAUAUAUUAAAUUGGAAUGAUCUAUAUAUUCUGGAAAUAUAGUAAUGGUUGAAGUAAGAAACAGUUACUGGAAUCUGUGGGACACACUAAAUAACAGUGUAUACUAAUGUAUCAAUACAUUAUGACAGUUCCUCUUUAAAAAUCAAACUAUAUCUCAGUCUCAUUCUGAUACCUCUUAUCAUCUAGAAUUAAGCUGAAUUACAGUCAUUGCCUAGGAU